AAGAAAAUGGGCAGCCAUGGAUGAGAAAACAUUCGGCCAAGCUUCUAUGGCCCAUCUAGGUACAAUAUUUGUCCCGUUUUUAAUGUUUUUUUACGUUUUUAGAGUCUCGGUAACUUAAUUUAGCUUAUUCUAGCAAUAAUUUAACGUUUAUAUUUGGAAAAAUACUCAUAGGUGAAAUGUGUUUAUUUUGAUGUUUCAUGUGAAGCUUAGAAUCAUGUUAAACGAUUUUUGGUAAACGAUUUUCAGUGAAAACGAGUGAAACGACAUAAUCGGUAAAAAUUAUUAUUGUUCAUAAGUGCAUGUUAGAGCAAGAAUUUGAUGUUGCCAUAGAAGAGAAAAAUGUUCAGCAUGUCAUAAAACAUAAGAAAAAUGAAAAAAGUUUAAUUUAUGAGCCUAGGAGAAAAAUCGUAAUUAUGCAAAAGUUUAGGGGUAAAAAUGUAAAUUUUGUCAAAAUAUUUUUUAGGUCCGAAAUGAUUAGUAAAUUGAUUAAAUAAGUGAAAUAUGAUGUUUUAGAUCCCGAAAAACGAGAUUUGGACCUAGAAUGGGAGAAAAAUCGAAAAUCGAGAAAGUUGAUCAAAUGGACGUUUUGGUAUUGAGGCAAGUUCAUGUGUUUAAUAUGCAUUUAAUUAAGCAUGUUUGAAUGCUAAAUUGAUAUAUUAGUUAUAAAUGCUUUAGUAUUAAUUUUUGAAUAUAAUGAUAAUAGUUGAGAAAUGUUCGAUAAUGAUUCGACAUUAAAAAUGAGAAUUCGAAUAAGUUUACAUAUAAGACCAUAGUUGUAAUGUGGCUUUGUAUAAGAUCAAGAAAAUAUUGAAUAGCAUAAUUUGAGGAGAGUAAGAUAAAUUGAGGAUAUGAUGAGAUUGAGAAUGUAAGUAUGUAAGUUGAGUAGCAUUUUAUUAUUAUACAAUUGUUGCUAUUAUUAUUGAGUUAUGUGACUGGCCUUGAAAAUUUGAGCAAGUAUGUUUCAGCUAUGAUUUGUCAAGGCAUUGAUAUCUCAAGGUCCAUGUUUAUAUCAUGGCAAUUAAGAAAGAAUUGAUGGAAAAGACCAUGGUUGGACCAUGGCAGUGAGUGUACCAGUGUAAGACCAUGUCUGGGACAUGGCAUCGGCACAGUCCGACGAGUGCUAGUGUAAGACCAUGUCUGGGACAUGGCGUCGACACGGACAGAGAAGAGUCAGUGUAAGACCAUGUCUGGGACAUUGCAUCGGCAUGGAUAGAGAAGAUUCAGUGUAAGACCUUGUCUGGGACAUGACAUCGGCUCGAGAUGAGUGCUAGUGUAAGACCAUGUCUAGGACAUGACAUCGGCAUCGAUAUGUGAUCCCAUGUAAGACCAUUUCUGGGAUAUGGCAUUGGCAGUACAAGAAACAUCCUAUGUAAGACCAUUUCAAGGCAUGGCAUUGGUGAGUUCAUAAGGCAAGGAUACCAUGUAAGACCAUGUAAAGACAUGGCAAUGGUAAGUUUCAAAAAGAAAGGUACUUGAGUAAUCCAAAGAAUAAUUCAGAGAGAUGACAAGGUAAGAUCAUGAGGAAAGAGUACAGGUAUGUACAUAAGGCUUAAUAAUAUUGAGGUUAUAAGUUGAUGAUAUUAAAAGUAUUUUAAUGAGUAUAUUCAAGUAUUAAGUAAGUGAUAAGUUUUCAAUUAUACUUAUGACGCUUUGUGACAUGAUUGGCAAUAUGUCUAUAUUAUGAAAGAGUAUUAAUGUGUUAAAUGAGAUGUUGCAGGUGCGUAAGCAAGCUAUUAAGUAAGGUGCUUUAUUUUUUUUAUCCUGAGCUUUUGGUAAGGUUACCGAUGAGUCAGAUGGGAAAGUAUGAACUUAGCAUUAUUUAUGCAAAUUAUGAAAGCUUAGUAAUAAGCUAAACUAAUUACUAAUGAUUGUUAUUUUACAUGUGAACUUACUAAGCUUUAUAAGCUUACCUCUUUCCUUUCUUUUGUUCCAGAGUCUUAUCAAACAAGCUCUCGUUGGAGGUCGUGGAAGAUCGCUUCACACUAUCAACUAUCAAGUUACCAAUUGGGUAUUUUCAUUGACAGACGUUUUAAGUUAUGACAUGUAUAGGGACUUAGUCAUUUUGUAUGUAUGUCUUUAUGUUAUGGCUAAAGAAUGACAUAAAAAUAUUCAAUAACAAUUAGCUAUUGAGAUGGCUAAUUAGGAGUAUGUUUGAUGUUAUGGAUGCCUAAAUGAUAGUUAAUACAAAGAAAUAAUAAAAGAGUAAAAAUUUGCAA
rnacentral:lncRNA from 1 species